rnacentral:tRNA from 1 species
GCCUGGCUGGCUCAGUUGGUAGAGCCCGUGACUCUUGAUCUUGGGGUCAUGAGUUUGGGCCCCAUGUUGGGUG